AGAUUGAACGCUGGCGGCAUGCCUUACACAUGCAAGUCGAACGGUAGAGUAGCAAUACUUGAGAGUGGCGAACGGGUGAGUAAUAUAUCGGAACGUGCCCAGUCGUGGGGGAUAACGUAGAGAAUUUACGCUAAUACCGCAUACGAUCUAAGGAUGAAAGCGGGGGACUCGCAAGAGCCUCGCGCGAUUGGAGCGGCUGAUAUCAGAUUAGGUUGUUGGUGAGGUAAAAGCUCGACCAAGCCGACGAUCUGUAGCUGGUUUGAGAGAACGACCAGCCACACUGGGACUGAGACACGGCCCAGACUCCGUACGGGAGGCAGCGAGUGGGUAAUUUUGGACGAAGUGGGACGAAAGCCUGACUCCGAGU
rnacentral:rRNA from 1 species